GGAGUAGGCUCUGGAGAAUCUCGCAAGAGUGCCGAAGGUGCAAUGCACAGGACAGAUGAACUGUGCAGAAUCUCUCAGGCAAAAGGACAGAGUUCAUAGA
rnacentral:ncRNA from 2 species